rnacentral:rRNA from 1 species
GAUGGACGCUGGCGGCGUGCUUAACACAUGCAAGUCGAACGGAAAGGCCCAAGCUUGCUUGGGUACUCGAGUGGCGAACGGGUGAGUAACACGUGGGUGAUCUGCCCUGCACUUCGGGAUAAGCCUGGGAAACUGGGUCUAAUACCGGAUAGGACCACUUCUUGGAUGUUGUGGUGGAAAGUUUUUUCGGUGUGGGAUGAGCUCGCGGCCUAUCAGCUUGUUGGUGGGGUAAUGGCCUACCAAGGCGUCGACGGGUAGCCGGCCUGAGAGGGUGUACGGCCACAUUGGGACUGAGAUACGGCCCAGACUCCUACGGGAGGCAGCAGUGGGGAAUAUUGCACAAUGGGCGCAAGCCUGAUGCAGCGACGCCGCGUGGGGGAUGACGGCCUUCGGGUUGUAAACUCCUUUCGCUAGGGACGAAGCGCUUUGUGACGGUACCUGGAGAAGAAGCACCGGCUAACUACGUG